rnacentral:rRNA from 1 species
CGACCGGCGCACGGGUGAGUAACACGUAUGCAACCUGCCCCUGUCAGAGGGAUAAUCCGGAGAAAUCCGGUCUAAUAUCGCAUAAAGCGUUUGCGGGGCAUCCUGCGAGCGCCAAAGGAGUAAUCCGGACAGGGAUGGGCAUGCGGCGCAUUAGCUAGUUGGGGGGGUAACGGCCCACCAAGGCGACGAUGCGUAGGGGUUCUGAGAGGAAGGUCCCCCACAUUGGUACUGAGACACGGACCAAACUCCUACGGGAGGCAGCAGUGAGGAAUAUUGGUCAAUGGGCGGAAGCCUGAACCAGCCAAGUCGCGUGAGGGAAGACGGCCCUAAGGGUUGUAAACCUCUUUUGCCGGGGAGCAAAAGCGCCGUGCGCGGUGCUAUGAGAGUACCCGGAGAAAAAGCAUCGGCUAACUCCGUGCCAGCAGCCGCGGUAAUACGGAGGAUGCGAGCGUUAUCCGGAUUUAUUGGGUUUAAAGGGUGCGUAGGCGGACAGUUAAGUCAGCGGUCAAAACGGGCGGCUCAACCGCCUGCCGCCGUUGAAACUGGCAGUCUAGAGUGGGCGAGAAGUACGCGGAAUGCGCGGUGUAGCGGUGAAAUGCAUAGAUAUUGCGCAGAACUCCGAUUGCGAAGGCAGCGUACCGGCGCCCGACUGACGCUGAGGCACGAAAGCGUGGGGAUCGAACAGGAUUAGAUACCCUGGUAGUCCACGCAGUAAACGAUGGACACUAUCUGUUCGGGUCGAGAGAGAUCUGAGUGGCACAGCGAAAGCGUUAAGUGUCCCACCUGGGGAGUACGCCGGCAACGGUGAAACUCAAAGGAAUUGACGGGGGCCCGCACAAGCGGAGGAACAUGUGGUUUAAUUCGAUGAUACGCGAGGAACCUUACCCGGGCUCAAACGCACGACGGCGGCACGUGAAAGCGUGCUUACCUACGGGACGUUGUGCGAGGUGCUGCAUGGUUGUCGUCAGCUCGUGCCGUG